AAGGUUGAAACUCAAAGGAAUUGACGGGGGCCCGCACAAGUGGUGGAGCAUGUGGUUUAAUUCGACGCUACGCGAAGANCCUUACCCGGGUUUGAAUUGCAGUGGUUGUAAUCUCUAGAGAUAGAGGUGAGGGAGCAAUCCCGCUGCUUGUGAAGGUGCUGCAUGGCUGUCGUCAGCUCGUGCCGUGAGGUGUUGGGUUAAGUCCCGCAACGAGCGCAACCCUUGUCUUUAGUUGCCAGCGAGUAAAGUCGGGCACUCUAGAGAGACUGCCGUCACAAGACGGAGGAAGGUGGGGAUGACGUCAAGUCAGCAUGGCCCUUACGUCCGGGGCUACACACGUGCUACAAUGGUCGGUACAACGGGCUGCGAGACCGCGAGGUGGAGCGAAUCCCUAAAAGCCGAUCUCAGUUCGGAUUGCAGGCUGCAACUCGCCUGCAUGAAGUUGGAAUCACUAGUAACCGCAGAUCAGCUACGCUGCGGUGAAUACGUUCCCGGGCCUUGUACACACCGCCCGUCACGUCACGAAAGCCAGGUGUACCCGAAGUCGCUGGCCCAACCGCAAGGAGGGAGGCGCCGAAGGUAUGACUGGUGAUUGGGACG
rnacentral:rRNA from 1 species